rnacentral:rRNA from 1 species
AUGAACGCUGGCGGCGUGCCUAAUACAUGCAAGUCGAGCGAACGGACGAGAAGCUUGCUUCUCUGAUGUUAGCGGCGGACGGGUGAGUAACACGUGGAUAACCUACCUAUAAGACUGGGAUAACUUCGGGAAACCGGAGCUAAUACCGGAUAAUAUUUUGAACCGCAUGGUUCAAAAGUGAAAGACGGUCUUGCUGUCACUUAUAGAUGGAUCCGCGCUGCAUUAGCUAGUUGGUAAGGUAACGGCUUACCAAGGCAACGAUGCAUAGCCCACCUGAGAGGGUGGUCGGCCACACUGGAACUGAGACACGGUCCAGACUCCUACGGGAGGCAGCAGUAGGGAAUCUUCCGCAAUGGGCGAAAGCCUGACGGAGCAACGCCGCGUGAGUGAUGAAGGUCUUCGGAGCGUAAAACUCUGUUAUUAGGGAAGAACAUAUGUGUAAGUAACUGUGCACAUCUUGACGGUACCUAAUCAGAAAGCCACGGCUAACUACGUG